rnacentral:rRNA from 1 species
ACUCAAAUGAAUUGACGGGGGCCCGCACAAGCAGCGGAGCGUGUGGUUUAAUUCGAGGCUACACGAAGAACCUUACCUGGGCUUGACAUGGCGGUGGUAGCGACCUGAAAGGGGAGCGACCUUCGGGAGCCGUCACAGGUGCUGCAUGGCUGUCGUCAGCUCGUGUCGUGAGAUGUUCGGUUAAGUCCGGUAACGAGCGCAACCCUCGCCGUCAGUUACAAGUGUCUGGCGGGACUGCCCGUUGAACGCGGGAGGAAGGUGGGGAUGACGUCAAGUCAGCAUGGCCUUAAUGUCCAGGGCUACACACACGCUACAAUGGCCGGCACAGCAGGUUGCCAACCCGCGAGGGGGAGCCAAUCCCGUAAAGCCGGUCUCAGUUCGGAUUGCAGGCUGCAACCCGCCUGCAUGAAGUGGGAGUUGCUAGUAAACGCGCAUCAGCCAAGGCGCGUUGAAUACGUUCCCGGGCCUUGUACACACCGCCCGU